CACAGACAGUGCAUGCGUUAUUCGGAUUUAUUGGGCGUAAAGGGUAAGUAGAUUGUCUUUUAAAAAAUGUACUAAAGGCUGGGGUUAUAACCUUAGAUAGGUAUGUUACAAUUAUAAGGCUUAAGUUAGGAAGAGGUUAGAAGAAUUUCUGGGGGAAGGGUAAUAUCUUAAAAUCUUGGAAGGACUACCAUAAGCGAAGGCAUCUUUCCAGUCUUAACUAAUAUUGAGUUACGGAAAUACAGGUAGCAAAUGGG
rnacentral:rRNA from 1 species